UGUGAUGGGGAGCGAAAUUUAGUAGCGAAGUAGCUGAUUUCACACUGUCAAGAAAAGUCUCUAUCGAGGUUAAAGGUACCCGUACCGCAAACCGACACAGGUGGGUGAGGAGAGUAUCCUAAGGCCAGCGAGAGAACUGUUGUUAAGGAACUCGGCAAAAUGACCCCGUAACUUAGGGAUAAGGGGUGCCACCAUCAGGUGGCCGCAGAGAAUAGGCCCAAGCGACUGUUUACCAAACACAUAGGUUUCUGCUAAGUCGCAAGACGAUGUAUAGGAGCUGACGCCUGCCCGGUGCUGGAAGGUUAAGGGGAUCUGUUAGAGCAAUCGAAGCAGUGAACUUAAGCCCCAGUAAACGGCGGCCCUAACUAUAACGGUCCUAAGGUAGCGAAAUUCCUUGUCGGGUAAGUUCCGACCCGCACGAAAGGCGUAACGAUUUGGGCACUGUCUCA
rnacentral:rRNA from 1 species